AUUGAACGCUGGCGGCAUGCUUUACACAUGCAAGUCAAACGGCAGCGCGGGCUUCGGCCUGGCGGCGAGUGGCGAACGGGUGAGUAAUACAUCGGAACGUGCCCAGUAGUGGGGGAUAGCCCGGCGAAAGCCGGAUUAAUACCGCAUACGACCUGAGGGUGAAAGCGGGGGACCGAAAGGCCUCGCGCUAUUGGAGCGGCCGAGGUCGGAUUAGCUAGUUGGUGGGGUAAAGGCUUACCAAGGCGACGAUCCGUAGCUGGUCUGAGAGGACGACCAGCCACACUGGGACUGAGACACGGCCCAGACUCCUACGGGAGGCAGCAGUGGGGAAUGUUGGACAAUGGGGGCAACCCUGAUCCAGCCAUGCCGCGUGCGGGAAGAAGGCCUUCGGGUUGUAAACCGCUUUUGUUCGGGAAGAAAUCCUCUGGGCUAAUACCCCGGGGGGAUGACGGUACCGGAAGAAUAAGCACCGGCUAACUACGUG
rnacentral:rRNA from 1 species